GACGAACGCUGGCGGCGUGCUUAACACAUGCAAGUCGAACGGAAAGGCCCUGCUUGCAGGGUACUCGAGUGGCGAACGGGUGAGUAACACGUGGGUGAUCUGCCCUGCACUUCGGGAUAAGCCUGGGAAACUGGGUCUAAUACCGGAUAGGAGCCAUUCUUAGUGUGGUGGUUGGAAAGUUUUUUCGGUGUAGGAUGAGCUCGCGGCCUAUCAGCUUGUUGGUGGGGUAAUGGCCUACCAAGGCGGUGACGGGUAGCCGGCCUGAGAGGGUGGACGGCCACAUUGGGACUGGGGUACCGCCCAGACCCCCACGGGAGGCAGCAGGGGGGAAGAUUGCACAAUGGGCGGAAGCCUGAUGCCGCGACGCCGCGUGGGGGAUGACGGCCUUCGGGUUGGAAACUCCUUUCGCCAGGGACGAAGCUGUUUGUGACGGUAACUAGAUAAGAAGCACCGGCUAACUACGUG
rnacentral:rRNA from 1 species